CCUACGGGCGGCAGCAGUGGGGAAUCUUGCACAAUGGGGGGAACCCUGAUGCAGCGACGCCGCGUGAGUGAAGAAGUAUUUCGGUAUGUAAAGCUCUAUCAGCAGGGAAGAAAAUGACGGUACCUGACUAAGAAGCCCCGGCUAACUACGUGCCAGCAGCCGCGGUAAUACGUAGGGGGCAAGCGUUAUGCGGAUUUACUGGGUGUAAAGGUAGCGUAGUCGGUAGAGCAAGUCUGAAGCGAAAGCCGUCGGCUCAACUGAAGGACUGCAUUGGAAACUGCGCGGCUUGAGUGCUGGAGAGGUAAGCGGAAUUCCUGGUGUAGCGGUGAAAUGCGUAGAUAUUAGGAGGAACACCAGUGGCGAAGGCGGCUUACUGGACUGUAACUGACGCUGAGGCUCGAAAGCGUGGGGAGCAAACAGGAUUAGAUACCCGAGUAGUC
rnacentral:rRNA from 1 species